rnacentral:rRNA from 1 species
GAUGAACGCUGGCGGCAGGCCUAACUCAUGCAAGUCGAACGGAUCCUUCGGGAUUAGUGGCGGACGGGUGAGUAACGCGUGGGAACAUACCCUUUGGUACGGAAUAGCCUCGGGAAACUGGGAGUAAUACCGUAUGUGGUCGAGAGACGAAAGAUUUAUCGCCAAAGGAUUGGCCCGCGUUGGAUUAGGUAGUUGGUGGGGUAAUGGCCUACCAAGCCGACGAUCCAUAGCUGGUUUGAGAGGAUGAUCAGCCACACUGGGACUGAGACACGGCCCAGACUCCUACGGGAGGCAGCAGUGGGGAAUCUUAGACAAUGGGGGAAACCCUGAUCUAGCCAUGCCGCGUGGUCGAUGAAGGCCUUAGGGUUGUAAAGAUCUUUCAGGUGGGAAGAUAAUGACUGUACCACCAGAAGAAGCCCCGGCUAACUCCGUGCCAGCCGCCGCAGUAACAC